GAUAAACGCUGGCGGCGCACAUAAGACAUGCAAGUCGAACGAACUUAAUUUUAAUAUUUAUAUUAAAAAGCGGUUAGUGGCGGACUGGUGAGUAACGCGUAAGCAAUCUGCCUAUCAGAGGGGAAUAACAGUGAGAAAUCAUUGCUAAUACCGCAUAUGCCAUAAGAAUCACAUGAUUCUAGUGGGAAAGGAGCAAUCCACUGAUAGAUGAGCUUGCGUCUGAUUAGCUAGUUGGUGGGGUAACGGCCUACCAAGGCGACGAUCAGUAGCCGGACUGAGAGGUUGAACGGCCACAUUGGGACUGAGAUACGGCCCAGACUCCUACGGGAGGCAGCAGUCGGGAAUAUUGCGCAAUGGAGGAAACUCUGACGCAGUGACGCCGCGUAUAGGAAGAAGGUUUUCGGAUUGUAAACUAUUGUCGUUAGGGAAGAUAAAAGACAGUAC
rnacentral:rRNA from 1 species